AUACAGAGGGUGCGAGCGUUAAUCGGAUUUACUGGGCGUAAAGCGCGCGUAGGUGGCUAAUUAAGUCAAAUGUGAAAUCCCCGAGCUUAACUUGGGAAUUGCAUUCGAUACUGGUUGGCUAGAGUAUGGAAGAGGAUGGUAGAAUUCCAGGUGUAGCGGUGAAAUGCGUAGAGAUCUGGAGGAAUACCGAUGGCGAAGGCAGCCAUCUGGCCUAAUACUGACACUGAGGUGCGAAAGCAUGGGGAGCAAACAGGAUUAGAUACCCUGGUAGUCCAUGCCGUAAACGAUGUCUACUAGCCGUUGGGGGAUUUGAUCCUUUAGUGGCGCAGCUAACGCGAUAAGUAGACCGCCUGGGGAGUACGGUCGCAAGACUAAAACUCAAAUGAAUUGACGGGG
rnacentral:rRNA from 1 species